UCUGCGCAACUAGUCGUGCGUUUAGCAUUAUUUCCAUGUUUGAGCUAGCCGUCCGACGUCGUACGGGUAGACACAGCCGUGUUUUUACUUUUUUACGCUAGUGCAAAACAAGACGUCUAUCGUUUCCGGCGGUACUUGUUUGGUUUUUUGGUUGUGUGGUGUAAAUAUGAAUGAGUUAAAGUUUAAGAAACAUCAUGAUUUUCCUGAAAAACACAAGAAAAAGUGCUAGUAGACUGUCCUGGAUCCAUCACCUGUAAAUCAUCACUUUUCUGCUUAGUCAGGCCUUUCCAUUUUGAAAAUCAAG